rnacentral:rRNA from 1 species
AACGAACGCUGGCGGCAGGCUUAACACAUGCAAGUCGAGCGCCCCGCAAGGGGAGCGGCAGACGGGUGAGUAACGCGUGGGAAUCUACCCAUCCCUACGGAAUAGCUCCGGGAAACUGGAAUUAAUACCGUAUACGCCCUACGGGGGAAAGAUUUAUCGGGGAUGGAUGAGCCCGCGUUGGAUUAGCUAGUUGGUGGGGUAAAGGCCUACCAAGGCGACGAUCCAUAGCUGGUCUGAGAGGAUGAUCAGCCACAUUGGGACUGAGACACGGCCCAGACUCCUACGGGAGGCAGCAGUGGGGAAUAUUGGACAAUGGGGGCAACCCUGAUCCAGCCAUGCCGCGUGAGUGAUGAAGGCCUUAGGGUUGUAAAGCUCUUUCACCGGGGAAGAUAAUGACGGUACCCGGAGAAGAAGCCCCGGCUAACUUCGUGCCAGCAGCUGCAGUAACAC